rnacentral:tRNA from 1 species
CGGGGCGUAGCGCAGUCUGGUAGCGCGUUUGGUUCGGGUCCAAAAAGUCGUGAGUUCAAAUCUCACCGCCCCGA